rnacentral:tRNA from 1 species
GGCGGCGUAGCUCAGUUGGUUAGAGCGUGGGACUCAUAAGCCCGAGGUCAGAGGUUCAAAUCCUCUCGCCGCUA